AUUAUGAGAGUUUGAUCCUGGCUCAGGACGAACGCUGGCGGCGUGCCUAAUACAUGCAAGUCGAACGCUUCUUUUCCCACCGGAGCUUGCUCCACCGGGAAAAGAGGAGUGGCGAACGGGUGAGUAACACGUGGGUAACCUGCCCAUCAGAAGGGGAUAACACUUGGAAACAGGUGCUAAUACCGUAUAACAAUCGAAACCGCAUGGUUUCGUUUUGAAAGGCGCUUUACGGUGCCGCUGAUGGAUGGACCCGCGGUGCAUUAGCUAGUUGGUGAGGUAACGGCUCACCAAGGCCACGAUGCAUAGCCGACCUGAGAGGGUGAUCGGCCACAUUGGGACUGAGACACGGCCCAAACUCCUACGGGAGGCAGCAGUAGGGAAUCUUCGGCAAUGGACGAAAGUCUGACCGAGCAACGCCGCGUGAGUGAAGAAGGUUUUCGGAUCGUAAAACUCUGUUGUUAGAGAAGAACAAGGGUGAGAGUAACUGUUCACCCCUUGACGGUAUCUAACCAGAAAGCCACGGCUAACUACGUGCCAGCAGCCGCGGUAAUACGUAGGUGGCAAGCGUUGUCCGGAUUUAUUGGGCGUAAAGCGAGCGCAGGCGGUUUCUUAAGUCUGAUGUGAAAGCCCCCGGCUCAACCGGGGAGGGUCAUUGGAAACUGGGAGACUUGAGUGCAGAAGAGGAGAGUGGAAUUCCAUGUGUAGCGGUGAAAUGCGUAGAUAUAUGGAGGAACACCAGUGGCGAAGGCGGCUCUCUGGUCUGUAACUGACGCUGAGGCUCGAAAGCGUGGGGAGCAAACAGGAUUAGAUACCCUGGUAGUCCACGCCGUAAACGAUGAGUGCUAAGUGUUGGAGGGUUUCCGCCCUUCAGUGCUGCAGCUAACGCAUUAAGCACUCCGCCUGGGGAGUACGACCGCAAGGUUGAAACUCAAAGGAAUUGACGGGGGCCCGCACAAGCGGUGGAGCAUGUGGUUUAAUUCGAAGCAACGCGAAGAACCUUACCAGGUCUUGACAUCCUUUGACCACUCUAGAGAUAGAGCUUCCCCUUCGGGGGCAAAGUGACAGGUGGUGCAUGGUUGUCGUCAGCUCGUGUCGUGAGAUGUUGGGUUAAGUCCCGCAACGAGCGCAACCCUUAUUGUUAGUUGCCAUCAUUUAGUUGGGCACUCUAGCAAGACUGCCGGUGACAAACCGGAGGAAGGUGGGGAUGACGUCAAAUCAUCAUGCCCCUUAUGACCUGGGCUACACACGUGCUACAAUGGGAAGUACAACGAGUCGCGAAGUCGCGAGGCUAAGCUAAUCUCUUAAAGCUUCUCUCAGUUCGGAUUGUAGGCUGCAACUCGCCUACAUGAAGCCGGAAUCGCUAGUAAUCGCGGAUCAGCACGCCGCGGUGAAUACGUUCCCGGGCCUUGUACACACCGCCCGUCACACCACGAGAGUUUGUAACACCCGAAGUCGGUGAGGUAACCUUUUUGGAGCCAGCCGCCUAAGGUGGGAUAGAUGAUUGGGGUGAAGUCGUAACAAGGUAGCCGUAUCGGAAGGUGCGGCUGGAUCACCUCCUUUCUAAGGAA
rnacentral:rRNA from 2 species